rnacentral:rRNA from 1 species
UGGGGAAUUUUGCGCAAUGGGCGAAAGCCUGACGCAGCGACGCCGCGUGUGCGAUGAAGGCCUUAGGGUUGUAAACCUCUUUUCUCAAGGAAGAUAAUGACGGUACUUGAGGAAUCAGCAUCGGCUAACUCCGUGCCAGCAGCCGCGGUAAUACGGAGGAUGCAAGCGUUAUUCGGAAUUAUUGGGCGUAAAGCGUCCGCAGGUGGUGCCUCAAGUCUGCUGUCAAAGACCGAAGCUCAACUUCGGGCAGGCAGUGGAAACUGAAGCACUAGAGUACGGUAGGGGUAGAGGGAAUUUCCAGUGUAGCGGUGAAAUGCGUAGAGAUUGGAAAGAACACCAGUGGCGAAGGCGCUCUACUGGACCGUAACUGACACUCAGGGACGAAAGCUAGGGGAGCGAAAGGGAUUAGAUACCCCUGUAGUCC